AGAGUUUUGAUCAUGGCUCAGGAUGAACGCUGGCGGCGUGCUUAACACAUGCAAGUCGAACGGAAAGGCCACAGCUUGCUGUGGUACUCGAGUGGCGAACGGGUGAGUAACACGUGGGUGAUCUGCCCUGUACUUCGGGAUAAGCUUGGGAAACUGGGUCUAAUACCGGAUAGGAAUCACAUGUGGGUGUGUGGUUGGAAAGCUUUUGCGGUAUGGGAUGAGCUCGCGGCCUAUCAGCUUGUUGGUGGGGUAAUGGCCUACCAAGGCGUCGACGGGUAGCCGGCCUGAGAGGGUGUACGGCCACAUUGGGACUGAGAUACGGCCCAGACUCCUACGGGAGGCAGCAGUGGGGAAUAUUGCACAAUGGGCGCAAGCCUGAUGCAGCGACGCCGCGUGGGGGAUGACGGCCUUCGGGUUGUAAACUCCUUUCGUCAGGGACGAAGCGAAAGUGACGGUACCUGGAUAAGAAGCACCGGCUAACUACGUGCCAGCAGCCGCGGUAAUACGUAGGGUGCGAGCGUUGUCCGGAAUUACUGGGCGUAAAGAGCUCGUAGGUGGUUUGUCGCGUCGUUUGUGUAAGUCCACGGCUUAACUGUGGGAUGGCAGGCGAUACGGGCAUAACUUGAGUGCUGUAGGGGAGACUGGAAUUCCUGGUGUAGCGGUGAAAUGCGCAGAUAUCAGGAGGAACACCGAUGGCGAAGGCAGGUCUCUGGGCAGUAACUGACGCU
rnacentral:rRNA from 1 species